GGAUCAUUGUCGAAACCUGCCCCAGCAGAAGGGCACGUCUGCCUGGGUGUCACGCAUCGUUGCCCCCAACCCCAUCGCCCUGCAAAGAGGCGGUGGGGGCAUGCGGGGCGGACAUUGGCCUCCCGUGGGCUGAUGCCUGCGGCUGGCCUAAAAACGAGUCCUGGGCGACGAUCGCCACGACAAUCGGUGGUUGACAAACCUUCGUGACCCGUCGUGCGCGCAUCGCCGCUCAACGCGUGCUCUUUUGACCCUGUCGCGUCGCGCUCGCGACGCUUCCAACGCGACCCCAGGUCAGGCGGGACUACCCGCUGAG
rnacentral:rRNA from 1 species